GUAGGAAUCGAACCUACACCUAAGAGAUCAAAACUCUCCGUAAUUCCAUCACCCUUU
rnacentral:tRNA from 1 species